rnacentral:lncRNA from 1 species
GGCUAUAAACAGGGGGUACCGGUACAGAGUCAAUGUGGAGGCUAUAAACAGGGGGUACCGGUACAGAGUCAAUGUGGAGGCUAUAUACAGGGGGUACCGGUACAGAGUCAAUGUGGAGGCUAUAUACAGGGGGUACCGGUACAGAGUCAAUGUGGAGGCUAUAUACAGGGGGUACCGGUACAGAGUCAAUGUGGAGGCUAUAAACAGGGGGUACCGGUACAGAGUCAAUGUGGAGGCUAUAUACAGGGGGUACCGGUACAGAGUCAAUGUGGAGACUAUAUACAGGGGGUACCGGUACAGAGUCAAUGUGGAGGCUAUAUACAGGGGGUACCGGUGCAGAGUCAAUGUGGAGGCUAUAAACGGGGGAUACCGGUACAGAGUCAAUGUGGAGGCUAUAUACAGGGUGUUACGGUACAGAGUCAAUGUGGAGGCUAUAAACAGGGGGUACCGGUACAGAGUCAAUGUGGAGGCUAUAAACAGGGGGUACCGGUACAGAGUCAAUGUGGAGGCUAUAAACAGGGGGUACCGGUACAGAGUCAAUGUGGAGGCUAUAAACAGGGGGUACCGGUACAGAGUCAAUGUGGAGGCUAUAUACAGGGGGUACCGGUACAGAGUCAAUGUGGAGGCUAUAAACAGGGGGUACCGGUACAGAGUCAAUGUGGAGGCUAUAUACAGGGGGUACCGGUACAGAGUCAAUGUGGAGGCUAUAUACAGGGGGUACCGGUACAGAGUCAAUGUGGAGGCUUUAUACAGGGGUACCGGUACAGAGUCAAUGUGGAGGCUAUGUGCGGGGUAGCCAUUUGAUUAGUCUGGGUAGUCUGGGUAGCCAUUUGAUUAGUCUGGGUUGUCUGGGUAGCCAUUUUAUUAGAUGUUCAGGAAUCUUAUGGCUUGGGGGCAGAAGCUGUUUAGAGGCCUCUUGGACCUAGACUUGGUGCAUCAGUACUGCUUGCCGUGUGGUAGCAGAGAGAACUGUCUAUGACUAGGAUGGCUGGAGUCUGACAAUUUUUAGGGCCUUCCUC